rnacentral:rRNA from 1 species
GAUGAACGCUAGCGAUAGGCCUAACACAUGCAAGUCGAGGGGCAUCACAUGAAGUAGCAAUACGGAUGGUGGCGACCGGCGCACGGGUGAGUAACACGUAUGCAACCUGCCUUCAACAAGGGGAUAACCCGUUGAAAGACGGACUAAUACCCUAUAACACAGGGGUCCCGCAUGGGGAUAUUUGUUAAAGGACAACCGGUUGAAGAUGGGCAUGCGUUCCAUUAGCUAGUUGGCGGGGUAACGGCCCACCAAGGCAACGAUGGAUAGGGGAACUGAGAGGUUUAUCCCCCACACUGGUACUGAGACACGGACCAGACUCCUACGGGAGGCAGCAGUGAGGAAUAUUGGUCAAUGGGCGAGAGCCUGAACCAGCCAAGUCGCGUGCAGGAAGAAUGUCCUAUGGAUUGUAAACUGCUUUUGCAGGGGAAUAAAGUGAGCCACGUGUGGUUUUUGUAUGUACUCUGCGAAUAAGGAUCGG